rnacentral:rRNA from 1 species
AUGGAUCCUUCCAUCCAAGAGUAUCUUGAGCGGCUCGACGCCUACAACAACGCCAUCAGGUCCCUCGUCGAGAAAGUGGGCAUCCAUGUCGUCAUUGGGGCCACCAGUACGCCCGCCAUCGUCCACAAUCCAUCACCGCCGACCACUUCGCCGGAGAGCACGACCGACGCGUCGGCGCCCGUCCCCGACGUCUCCUGCUCCACCACCAAGGCCCAGGAGAUCCCCAUGGUCGCCCAUGAUGCAGCCCCGGCCUGCGUCGCGAUGGUGCCCGUCACCUGUUCGACAGAGUGCUCGACCGAGGUCGACACCAGCGAUAGCGUCGACGAGGUCCAUGAUGCCGCCACCUCUGUCCACCUUGAGCCCACGGUCGACCCCAUCCACCAAGAAGUCGAGCAGCUCACUUCAGGGCAGGCGACGACCUCUAGUGCUGAGGUCGUUUCUCCCGUGAAGGACAUCAACCCCAAGGCCGGCGUGCAGGAGCUCGAUGCCCUGUCUGUUAACACCUCCACGCAAGUGAUGAGCAAGGCGAACCAUGGCGUCGUCAUCAUCAUCACCAGCGACUUCUCUGCACCAACGUGA